rnacentral:lncRNA from 1 species
AUUCUCGAUCAUUCAUAUCAUAUACGGACUUGUGAGAUUAAUUAUGUCUAGGAGUAGCCACAACAUCCUAGUCAUGAUAUUUGAUCACUUAUGGUAUUUUUACAAGAUGAUAUUGAUUUAAAGUUAACCCGAAAAUUCAUAUGGAUUUCUAAUUUAUUUUUAAAUAGUCAUUCAAUGUCAAAUAAGGUUAUUUGUAUUUUUCAUUAUGCUCAGGAGUAGCCACAACAUCCUAUAGAUAAUGAAAAAUAUAUAAGGUAUUAAUGAUAUUGAAUUAAAGUUUGACUAUUUAUUGCAGUCAAAUAAAAUAAUUUUCUGAAUUUUGACUGGACUAAGAUAGUGGAUUGAAUUUCUAGAUAGCGAGUUUCUUAUGCCCACAGGUAUAGAAAUCUUGUUAUUUAGAAAUUAGUUUUCUGCUAGUCUUAUUAUUAAAGUAGAUUAAUUCUAUGCGUGUAGCGCCUCUGCCCACAGGAAGGUAGAAUUUAUCUUAUCUAAAGAUUACUAUCUUAUAGUAAGCGAUAAAGUUCAAUAUUUUCUUUAUUUUUGCAGCUUUUUCCUCUACCGCAUUUCUUAAUGAUGUUUCUCGUAUUUCUAUACUUACUGGGGACAAUUAUUUUGAUUGAAAAGAAAUUAUUUCUUUUACUUUGGGUUAUAUGGAUUUAGACUUGACUCUGCACGUUGAGCAACCGCCU